UUCGGCAGAAUGUCAUAUUCUUUGAGAUAUAAGGAAUGGGAAGCAGGUGGAUCGGGCCAGGAUGAUCUCAGUUCACGGUAAUCUUUAUAUGAUGUCCAGGUUUCUCAGAAGUUGUCCAGGCAAAGCCCUCUUGGCUCCAGAUUUCUGCAGACAUGUGUCAAAUGUAGUGAGUGGCUGCUCUGCUCAAUGUCAUGUCGGACAUGCGGGAAAGAUGGAUGCUUUUCAGGACAUCACAAAACCUUCAGUGAACUGUCAGCAGGAUUCCCUAAACAAUCCACGACAACAACAAUUUAGAUGAAAUUUAUGCCAUAUUAAGCAUUCUAAGUACCUAGACCUGAUUUUCUGGUAUAUGGAAGGAUGUGCAAAAAUUAUUGGUGUGUAUUUGUAAAUGCCUCUAGGAUUCCCAUUCACAGGAAGAGUUUCAACACAGCCACAGAUAAGUGAAGGUCACGUGUUUGAGGAAUGCCAUGAAGAAUGCAUCCUAAAAGGUGUGUUUUGGAAAGAUUCUAGGGAAGGUGAUGACAGCGAUGGUUAGUGUUAAGCCUGCGGCGAGGAACAUGGUGGGAACAGGCACAGCAUAAGCAAAGGCAGCGGCUCAGCUACAAGCCAAUGUGAAAUAAAGGGUUCAGAA
rnacentral:sRNA from 1 species